rnacentral:rRNA from 1 species
AACGAACGCUGGCGGCAGGCCUAACACAUGCAAGUCGAGCGCCCCGCAAGGGGAGCGGCAGACGGGUGAGUAACGCGUGGGAAUCUACCCAUCCCUACGGAACAACUCAGGGAAACUUGAGCUAAUACCGUAUACGCCCUUCGGGGGAAAGAUUUAUCGGGGAUGGAUGAGCCCGCGUUGGAUUAGCUAGUUGGUGAGGUAAUGGCUCACCAAGGCGACGAUCCAUAGCUGGUCUGAGAGGAUGAUCAGCCACACUGGGACUGAGACACGGCCCAGACUCCUACGGGAGGCAGCAGUGGGGAAUAUUGGACAAUGGGCGCAAGCCUGAUCCAGCCAUGCCGCGUGAGUGAUGACGGCCCUAGGGUUGUAAAGCUCUUUCAACGGUGAAGAUAAUGACGGUAACCGUAGAAGAAGCCCCGGCUAACUUCGUGCCAGCCG